UACGUAGGGGGCAAGCGUUGUCCGGAUUUAUUGGGCGUAAAGAGCGUGUAGGCGGUUUGUCGCGUCUGCUGUGAAAACUGGAGGCUCAACCUCCAGCCUGCAGUGAGUACGGGCAAACUAGAGUGCGGUAGGGGGAGAUUGGAAUUCCUGGUGUAGCGGUGGAAUGCACAGAUAUCAGGAGGAACACCGAUGGCGAAGGCAGAUCUCUGGGCCGUAACUGACGCUGAGGAGCGAAAGCAUGGGGGAGCGAACAGG
rnacentral:rRNA from 1 species